AUCUGAUGCAUUUGACUGUCUUUUAUCCAACUGCCCAGAAGCAAAUGUGUUAACUCGGCGAUGCCCCUUCAUGCCCGGGUUCUUGCAGAGCUCUGAGGACGCCCAGACCCAUUUUCCUGGCUGGAUUUGGAGCGGCUGCUGGGCUGUGGACCCAGGUGUGUGGAUCGCUUUACCCAGAAGCUUGGAAAGCGCCAAUAUUAACCUGCUUCCAGGUACAUCACAAGGUCAAGAGAGUGUCUUGCAGCCCUCUUGUUUCCGUGUAUCUACACCUUCUUCUCUUGGCCAGAAGGAUAUUUACGUUUUGGUUCACAGCAUUUGAAGCCAAAAGUUCAGCCCUUCGAACUGGUUUGCUAUACAAAACAAAACAAAACAAAUAAGGUAAUGAGGAUUGCUUAUUAAACUGCUUAACAAAAUCCCCGACUCUUCCUCAGCCCUUUCUCGGCUCCCUCCUCCCCACCAAAAUGUCACCAGCUCUUGAAUUACGUGGAUUCGGGUUGGAGGAGAACUUGAAGGAAACGUGAUUAAAGGGCUAUGCGAGAACGCUCUCUUUGCUGCCCGCGGUCCGGUGGGCUUCGAAGCCAAUCGUGAGAAGGACCGGUUCCCUCCGUGCUGCUUCCUCCCCGUGCAGUGCUGGGUGUGCGUGUGCGAGUGUGAGUGCAAGUGCGCGCGCGCCCGGGUGCGAGUGUGUGUGAGUGUGAGCGUGUGUCUGUGUGUGCGUGCGCGGCCGCCCUGCCUCUGCCCGCUCCCCGGGCGCGGAGCCGCGGGUUUCAUGGGGCGAUUGCAGCGAUUCCCCCACCCAGAGCGACCUGCGGGCAGCGGCGGCAGUGGCAGGAGCCGCCUUUCCGAUUCCCUACGAUGCGGGUGCUGAGCUAUGGCAAAGGGCAGCGAAGUGACGAGCGAGACCCGCGUACGACUGUGAAAGCCACCUGGAGCCACCUUGCCGGGAUUGUACCUGCAGGCAGAAAGUCUUCCUACGACCGUCUUUUCCCUUAGAGGCACCAGAAUCCCUGUAACCAUUCAUCCAGGUGUUGAGAAGAUAUGUAGCAGCCGAGCACCCAUCUUUUGACACCGUCCUCUGAAAUCAGCUUUGGAGAUGCUUUCACUCUGUCCGUCUUCUGCAGCAGCCAGGCAGAGUGCCGACUCCUUCACAGCCGUGAGGAACUCUUCAGGCUCCAGAAAUGCUUUGCUGACUAAUGUUGACCAGAUUGUCCAGGAAACACAGAGGCUGGAGUUAAUCUGAAGAGCACCACUUCUCCUCUCUCUCCUGAAAAAAUUUGCCACUGAUAUUUUUACUGGAUAAAAUUCAAAAAUGUUUCAAUUCACAAAGGCUAAUUGUUGAACUGGUGUCGUAGAAGAAAUUGUCUACAGGAGCCAAGGUGAAAGUCUCUGAUGACGGCGGAACUGGCUCCAUUAGACCAUGGUUCAUCCUCUUUUAAAACCAAAUUUUUUUUUCUUCUGGCCUACAAGUAUUUUUUUUUUAAAAAAGAAAAAAAGCCUACAUUGGCAUCAAGUUCUGUAUCAAUCCAUCUUACAUUGCCAUCCAUGAUUUAACAGACUGUAGAAUCUUGAAUAAUCUAUAUCACUUUAACAAAUAAAUGUUUUACUAUGACAG
rnacentral:lncRNA from 1 species